UACAGAGGGUGCGAGCGUUAAUCGGAGUUACUGGGCGUAAAGGGCGCGUAGGCGGUUAUAUGGGUGUGAUGUGAAAGCCCUGGGCUUAACCUGGGAAGUGCAUCGCAAACUAUAUGGCUAGAGUACAAGAGAGGGUGGCGGAAUUUCCGGUGUAGCGGUGAAAUGCGUAGAGAUCGGAAGGAACGUCAAUGGCGAAGGCAGCCACCUGGCUUGAUACUGACGCUGAAGCGCGAAAGCGUGGGGAGCGAACAGG
rnacentral:rRNA from 1 species